rnacentral:rRNA from 1 species
CAUCAUGAUCUAGCAAUAGAUUGAUGGCGACCGGCGCACGGGUGAGUAACACGUAUCCAACCUUCCGUUAACUCGGGGAUACCCUUUCGAAAGAAAGAUUAAUACCGGAUAGUAUAGCAUUUCCCCUUGGUUUUGCUAUUAAAGAAUUUCGGUUAUCGAUGGGGAUGCGUUCCAUUAGUUUGUGGGCGGGGUAACGGCCCACCAAGACUACGAUGGAUAGGGGUUCUGAGAGGAAGGUCCCCCACAUUGGAACUGAGACACGGUCCAAACUCCUACGGGAGGCAGCAGUGAGGAA